rnacentral:rRNA from 1 species
UAACAAGGUCUCCGUUGGUGAACCAGCGGAAGGGAUCAUUACUGAGUUUACGCUCUAUAACCCUUUGUGAACAUACCUAUAACUGUUGCUUCGGCGGGUAGGGUCUCCGUGACCCUCCCGGCCUCCCGCCCCCGGGCGGGUCGGCGCCCGCCGGAGGAUAACCAAACUCUGAUUUAACGACGUUUCUUCUGAGUGGUACAAGCAAAUAAUCAAAACUUUUAACAACGGAUCUCUUGGUUCUGGCAUCGAUGAAGAACGCAGCGAAAUGCGAUAAGUAAUGUGAAUUGCAGAAUUCAGUGAAUCAUCGAAUCUUUGAACGCACAUUGCGCCCGCCAGCAUUCUGGCGGGCAUGCCUGUUCGAGCGUCAUUUCAACCCUCAAGCUCUGCUUGGUGUUGGGGCCCUACAGCUGAUGUAGGCCCUCAAAGGUAGUGGCGGACCCUCCCGGAGCCUCCUUUGCGUAGUAACUUUACGUCUCGCACUGGGAUCCGGAGGGACUCUUGCCGUAAAACCCCCAAUUUUCCAAAGGUUGACCUCGGAUCAGGUAGGAAUACCCGCUGAACUUAAGCAUAUC